ensembl:lncRNA
GGACGAAAUGAAUGAAAAUGAAAGUCUUCAUAGUGAUGGAUUACAUGUACAUACAUAUAUGAUAGAAGAUAGAGAUGAUGGGUUAGAAGAGGACGAAGAUCAAAUGUAUGAAAAUAAUAAUAAUUUGUUAUUACCACAUGAAGUAGAUGAAAAUGAAGAAAGUUUAUUACAUAUACAUAGUAAUAAUAAUAACAUAGCUUCUGGAUUAAAUUUAGGUUCAGAUAGUAGUAAUGAUAUGGGUAACCAACGUAAUGCUCAUGGUAUUGUAGAAGAUGGUGAAAUGGGAGGUGAUGACGAUGAUGAAGAUGAUGAUGAUGAUGAUGAGGAUGACGAUGAUGAUGAUGAUGAUGAGGAUGACGAUGAGGAUGAGGAUGAUGAGGAUGAUGAUAAUGAACAUAAUAGUUUAUUAUACCUUAACGAGACAGGUAGAAUACAUCCUGUUUCAGAAAUAAAUAAUAAUACUUGUUUGACGAAUGUUGAAAAUACAAAUGAAACAUUUGAAAAUGUUCAUAUGGUUACAGAUGUAGAGCCAAUUAGUGUAUUUCCACCUGAACCUAAUACAAACUUGAAUACUAAUUUGAAUACUAACUUGAAUACAAACUUGAAUACAAACUUGAAUACUAACUUGAAUACUAACUUGAAUACUAACUUGAAUAGUAACAAUGAACCAGUUACGAUUGAUCAGACCACUACUCUUACUACUGUUAAUAAUAAUCGUCGCUCUAAUAAUAUUGAUAAUGCUCAAACAAAUAGAACAAAUAACACAUUAUCUCAAUCCCAUUUUAUAAACAUUGUUAAUCAAUUAUGCACUAAUUUAAUAAGAAAUAAUUCUAGAUUAAGAACUGGCCCAAAUAAUUCUAUAUCUUUUACCAUAAGGAUGAAUAAUAUGAAUACAGGUAGAAACAAUACAGUUUUUCCCAACAAUACAAAUUUAACUACUCAACAUAAUGAUGAUAGUAGUAGUAAUAAUAGUGAUAAUGAUAAUGUCAGUCGUAGUAGUAGUAUAAAUAGCAAUACUAGUCAUAGUAAUGACACUAUAAUAGUUAAUAGAAAUACUAGAAAUGAUAACACAAACGUAUCAAAUGAAGAUAGGUUAUCUAAUUUUAAUCCUAGCUAUUUUCUAGUGGAUGGUAUAGAUCCACAAGUGUUAUAUACAAGAUCUCAUCCAAGUCGUUCUAUCAAUCAAACAGCAAGGAAUUUGGAAAGUUAUUUGGACAACUAUAAUAACGGAAACACAAAUAACCAAUACACCGAUACAAACAACUACACCGAUACAAACAAUUACACCGGUACAAACAACUACACCGGUACAAACAACAACAUAAACAGAUAUAAUAACGUCAAUUUUAAUCUUAGAAACCUAUUCAAUAAUAUUAGAAAUUAUAACACUACAGAAAAUAAUAUUCUGAGCUCAUUUGAAAGAUAUAAUAGCAGUUCAAUGUGUUUGUAUCAAAACAGAGGUAGUAUGAUGGAUCGAUCUGCUGUAAUAGAAACUGAUCGUGUGGUAGAUCGUGUGGUAGAUCGUGUGGCAGGUGGUGUGGCAGGUGGUGUGGCAGGUGGUGUGGCAGAUGGUGUGACAGGUGGUGUGACUGAUGAUGGUGUUGUUUGUGAACAAAAUCGUUUAUUACAAAACAGCUCUUGCUCGAAUGACGGUACAACUACAUUAACUAGUAAUAACACACAUAAUAUUAUUCUUGAUCCAAAUACAGGGAACAGUACUACCUCCAUAACAGGUACUUACGACAAUAACAAUAAUAAAAGCACAAGUCCUUCACUAAAAAAAACAAAUAAUAAUAAUAUAGAUAAUACAACUAUAAAUAACAAAAAUGAUGAUAAUAAAAGUGAUGAUAACAAAAAUGAUAACCAAAACAGAAAUCAGUUUUUUUUAAAUGAUACAGUAUUAGAUAGAGAUAUAAAAUUAAGAAGUGGUAUCGUUAAUUUUAUGUAUAACCGAUUAUGCAAAACUGUUCCUAAAGUAAAAAUUAAUUUACCUAUUAGCAACUUAUUAGAUCAGAAAAAAAAAAUAAUAGAAUUAAUGAUAGAAGAUAAUAAUAGGAGAAAAGCAGAAUAUGAAUAUAAUAAGAACAAAAAAGAAAAUGAAAAUUCGAAAAAUCAAAAAAAAAAAAGAUGAUUCUUCUAAAACAUCAUUAGCAGUAGUGAAGGAUGAGAGUAUUAUAAAAAAUGAAAACACGCCAGUAGAUGAUAUAAAUAGUAGUACUCUGGAAAAAAAAGAUGGACAAAAUGACAAUCAAAACACAAGUGAAGUUAUAACAAACCAAUCUAGUAGUACAAUCCAAAUUAACGAAAGCAAUGUUAAUGAUGCUGUAAAUGUAGAACUUAAUGAAGCGGGAGUGGUAAAUGUAGAAAGAGUCGAAAAUAACAACAGAACUGACAAUAGAACUGACAAUAGUAAUACAAAUGAAGUUAUCGAAACAUCAGCUGAAGGAACUGAAAAUGUGACAGAAAACACAAACGAAACAAAUCAGAAAAAAGAAGAAGACAAUGAUUAUAAAUAUAUAGAUUAUGAAAAUUUAUUUGAUUAUGUUUUAAAAAAUGAAUCACUUCUUAUAAUAUGUUGUGCAUUAGGAAUAAAUCAAAAUCAGUUAUUUAAUAUGUUAAAUGU